GCUACGGGUGGCAGCAGUGGGGAAUAUUGGGCAAUGGGCGCAAGCCUGACCCAGCAACGCGGCGUGAAGGAAGAAGGCUUUCGGGUUGUAAACUUCUUUUAAGGGGGACGAACAAAUGACGGUACCCCUUGAAUAAGCCACGGCUAACUACGUGCCAGCAGCCGCGGUAAUACGUAGGUGGCAAGCGUUAUCCGGAUUUAUUGGGUGUAAAGGGCGUGUAGGCGGGAGCGCAAGUCAGAUGGGAAAACUCAGGGCUCAACCCUGAGCCUGCAUUUGAAACUGUGUUUCUUGAGUGCUGGAGAGGCAAGCGGAAUUCCGUGUGUAGCGGUGAAAUGCGUAGAUAUACGGAGGAACACCAGUGGCGAAGGCGGAUUGCUGGACAGUAACUGACGCUGAGGCGCGAAAGCGUGGGGAGCAAACAGGAUUAGAUGCCCGUGUAGUC
rnacentral:rRNA from 1 species